GCAAUCUAUGACAGAACCAAGGAGGUUGGAGAGGCUUCCACAUUCCUGCAAAUUCACACCUCUCUGAGACAGGAUCGGGGUGCUGCACUUCGUGGUAUCCUAAGGACUUCCAGUGUCUUCUGGGAGCCUGGGAAGCCAGAUGAAAUCAUUGGGUUAUGAAGCAAUUUUACUUGGAAUGAAUGACACAUACGAGGGGGCCGAAGCCCGGACCCUAGUCCUGGCGCUCUAGAACAUGGAAUGCAGAGUCAGACUGGCUGUCUGCAACCCACCUCCACCCCUGGAAUUCCAGGGAGGCGUCGAAACUCUUCAUUCUCCAGUUUCCUCUUCUCAACCACAGGGUGUCUCCCUGUGUCCAUGGUUGUUGUUUGUUCAGGGACGAGACACUCGUUUUCCAGGAACAGCUUGGGAAGAAGACCACCUCCGAGCAGGGAGGACAGAUCCAUCGCCCACCCUUCAAGGGCACCUGCAGCGUGAGGAGGGAAGAGAGGCAUUCUCCACCCUGAGUUUCCUGGAGCUCCCGGGAGCUGAAAUGUGUGGCCCCCCCCCCAACCCGAUGCUCCCCCUGCCUAGAGCAGUGUGAGUAUUUGAAUAAACACCGGCUGUGAAGCUCUGCCGGUAACCGUGCACCGCUUAUAAAUACUGAGAAUUGCUAGUGGGAGGAAAUGGUUGCUUGGCGGAAGAGGUAAUAGAGGGUGCUAUAAAGAGGAACGGGACUCUACAUGUAAGGGUUAUUAAUAAUGACAGGAGUAGCAAUGGGAGGCCAACCUGUCCUGGUUUUUCUGGGACUGUCCCAGGUUUCAAAACCAAAAGUCCUGUAUCCAGAAAGCCCCUCCGUGUUGGCACUCCAGCAAGAAUGAGUGUUCUUCGGUCCCCUGAAUUUACCCAGGCUAUUAAAAAUGAUCCAUCUGUGAG